UACGUAGGAUGCAAGCGUUGUCCGGAAUUACUGGGCGUAAAGAGCGUGUAGGCGGCUCGGUAAGUCCGCUGUAAAAGUCCAGGGCUCAACCCUGGAAAGCCGGUGGAAACUGUCGAGCUAGAGUCCGGAAGAGGCGAGUGGAAUUCCUGGUGUAGCGGUGAAAUGCGCAGAUAUCAGGAGGAACACCAAUGGCGAAGGCAGCUCGCUGGGACGGUACUGACGCUGAGACGCGAAAGCGUGGGGAGCAAACAGG
rnacentral:rRNA from 1 species